UAGAAAAGAGAACAAUGAGACCCCUUUUCUCUUGGAUAUACAUACACGGCGCAUCUACACUGUCGGGGUGGUUCUUCUUCUUCUCCAUUUUUCAUUUUUCUCAUACACUCCUCACUCUCUCAUCAAAAACUCAUCUCCACACUUUCCUCCCUCAAAUACACAGCAAUCUCAAUUUUUCAAUUUUCUUGUAAUUCGUUCAUCUGUGUCUCCAAAAACAUGGCGACGACUCUUUCUGCAACAAAGUUUUGCAACCUUUGCCUUUUAAUUCUACUAGAUCUGCUAAAAAGCCCAUUUUAAUCCAAAGCUCAUCUUUUCUUGGAUCAUCAUCCUCUUCUAAGCUUUCUCUCAAGAAGCCUUUUAGCCUCCUAAUUCUCAGCGUCGAUCCAAUGUAGCUGUUGUUGCUGUUUCUGAUGUUGUUAAGAAAAAGAAGUCCAAGUCCAAAUCCUCUCUCUCCAAUCUGACCUUUAUUUGGUCUUUGAUUGUUGUGUUCUGCAUUUAGGAAAACUUCAGCAAGGUAGGAAGAUUCAUGAAAUUGUGGAGCCUCUUCUGUUCUUCUUCCUGCAGCCUUAUAUCCAAGAGACUACUAUGUAGUGUUGUUUGUGCUCUAGCAAGGGCCAGUCUAUCUUCACGAUAGCAAUAAAGUUGUUGAAGUGCCUUUUAUUUAGAUCCCUCAACUUGUACUUUAACAUUUUUAACUUCCUUACUACUUUAAACAUGCUGCAGCCUUGCACUGGCUGGUCA